GGAUGCUGAUGUAAGUCCAGUGAUUGGCAUUCAGGCUCCACGUUUGCCUUUGCCAGUGUUUGUUUGUGUGCGUGUCAGCCGAGCUACGAAUGCUCUGAUUCUUCUCUCGUCCGAGAAGAUACGUAUGCAUAGGAUGCGAUAUCCUAGCGAGCAUGUGUCGUUUCCCCAGUCCGAACUACUUCGACUCUGAUGUCUAUGCCUGAUAGACUAAGUAGGCCCAGGAUGCGAUAUCCUGCC
rnacentral:lncRNA from 1 species